AUUGAACGCUGGCGGCAGGCCUAACGCAUGCAAGUCGAACGGUAACAGGAAGAAGCUUGCUUCUUUGCUGACGAGUGGCGGACGGGUGAGUAAUGUCUGGGAAACUGCCUGAUGGAGGGGGAUAACUACUGGAAACGGUAGCUAAUACCGCAUAACGUCGCAAGACCAAAAAGGGGGACCUUCGGGCCUCUUGCCAUCGGAUGUGCCCAGAUGGGAUUAGCUAGUAGGUGGGGUAACGGCUCACCUAGGCGACGAUCCCUAGCUGGUCUGAGAGGAUGACCAGCCACACUGGAACUGAGACACGGUCCAGACUCCUACGGGAGGCAGCAGUGGGGAAUAUUGCACAAUGGGCGCAAGCCUGAUGCAGCCAUGCCGCGUGUAUGAAGAAGGCCUUCGGGUUGUAAAGUACUUUCAGCGGGGAGGAAGGGAGUAAAGUUAAUACCUUUGCUCAUUGACGUUACCCGCAGAAGAAGCACCGGCUAACUCCGUG
rnacentral:rRNA from 1 species